GAUGAACGCUGGCGGCGUGCCUAAUACAUGCCAUUCGAGCGAACAGACGAGGAGCUUGCUCCUCUGACGUUAGCGGCGGACGGGUGAGUAACACGUGGAUAACCUACCUAUAAGACUGGGAUAACUUCGGGAAACCGGAGCUAAUACCGGAUAAUAUAUUGAACCGCAUGGUUCAAUAGUGAAAGACGGUUUUGCUGUCACUUAUAGAUGGAUCCGCGCCGCAUUAGCUAGUUGGUAAGGUAACGGCUUACCAAGGCAACGAUGCGUAGCCGACCUGAGAGGGUGAUCGGCCACACUGGAACUGAGACACGGUCCAGACUCCUACGGGAGGCAGCAGUAGGGAAUCUUCCGCAAUGGGCGAAAGCCUGACGGAGCAACGCCGCGUGAGUGAUGAAGGUCUUCGGAUCGUAAAACUCUGUUAUUAGGGAAGAACAAAUGUGUAAGUAACUAUGCACGUCUUGACGGUACCUAAUCAGAAAGCCACGGCUAACUACGUG
rnacentral:rRNA from 1 species